rnacentral:lncRNA from 1 species
UUUCUAAAGUGGGUUGGUUUGUUUGAGGAGUAUUUGAGGGAUUUGAUUGAACUUCAAUCUCAUUUUCACGAUUUGAAAGGGAUUUAGAAGAGGUAGAGGAGGAUGAUUUGGUACCUGACUUUUGAGAAGAGGAUGAACAACUUUCCAUUUUGUUCUUGUUGGCAGGUCUCUUCAAACGAGCCAUUGAAACAGAAUUGAUUUUGGGAAGAUGAACA